GGAGGCAGGCCCUCCGAAAUCGGCAUUCAGGUGCUGGUUUCAAACCACCUCUGGGUGCUGUGGUCCAAAGCCAUGGUGCUGAGCGCAGAGGAAAAAGGGCCGGAAGAACCGGUCAGGU
rfam:Smithella sp. SCADC Smithella_SCADC_Contig_228, whole genome shotgun sequence.